GGACAGUGUGUGAAGGGAUAACAAGAUCCUCUCACCACAUGGUCUGUUAAGGGAGAAAGAAAUAACAAAGCUUUUAUUUCCUUUAUGGAAAGCAAAGAAGCAGAAAAACUAUGUUUACAGAAGACAGAUCUUGGGGAGAUGUGGAGAGAAGAGGUCCUAAUUGGAUUAUUCACCAUGGAAGCCGUGAGAAGAUGCUGAAACAGAGAAGAUGGUUCACCAUCUGCUUAAUUUUUCCCAUGAAAGAGCCGAGCUUUCCAGAAGGAUUUCAGAAACCCUUCCAGGUGCACAUGGAAUAUCCACCAAGAACAGGCGCCAUGAAACGCCAAUGUACAGGCUGUAUUCCACAUAUCAGGUGCACCACUAUGCCCACUGCUGAUGGUGACACGGAGUAACAGAUGGCACUGCCAGGGCUACAGGUGCCUCGGAAUGGAGCCUUUUGAAGACUAAGCCAAGGCAGUGGCCUGAAAACUACUCAGUGAUACAGAAACCGAAGUUAUUGGAAAUUGGGGGGAGGGAAUUUAAAAAAACAGUGAUUAUCUUUUAAUAAAUGACUGUCUUCCAGAAGUAUUAAAGCUUUUGCUCACAGACGCAACCUGGCCUAUUUGUGGCUCAACACAAAAGCUCAGAGUUGGUGAGCCCCAAGAGGUCACCCCCCAGCGCAGCCCAGACCCAGAGAGACAACCCCAGCUCUAAAUGUUGA
rnacentral:lncRNA from 1 species